rnacentral:rRNA from 1 species
GACGGAGGGUGCAAGCGUUGUCCGGAAUUAUUGGGCGUAAAGGGCUCGUAGGCGGUUUGUCGCGUCGGGAGUGAAAACCCAGGGCUUAACCCUGGGCUGGCUUCCGAUACGGGCAGACUAGAGGUAUGCAGGGGAGAACGGAAUUCCUGGUGUAGCGGUGAAAUGCGCAGAUAUCAGGAGGAACACCGGUGGCGAAGGCGGUUCUCUGGGCAUUACCUGACGCUGAGGAGCGAAAGUGUGGGGAGCGAACAGG